GGUAGUACUCUGUCCAAUUUUC
rnacentral:piRNA from 1 species